ncrna:unclassified sequences skipping-rope RNA
GGAGUUUGAGGACGGAACGGGCAGCCGUCGCCCUUGUUAGGAGAUGUGGGAGUGUCGCCCCGCCAAAUUCU